GACCAGACUCCUACGGGAGGCAGCAGUGGGGAAUAUUGCGCAAUGGGCGAAAGCCUGACGUAGCGACGCCGCGUGAGGGAUGAAGGUCUUCGGAUCGUAAACCUCUGUCAGGAGGGAAGAAGUGGUUAUAUGCGAAUAGUGUAUGACUUUGACGGUACCUCCAAAGGAAGCACCGGCUAACUCCGUGCCAGCAGCCGCGGUAAUACGGAGGGUGCGAGCGUUAAUCGGAAUCACUGGGCGUAAAGCGCGCGUAGGCGGCUUUUCAAGUCAGGGGUGAAAUCCCACGGCCCAACCGUGGAACUGCCUUUGAAACUGGCAAACUGGAGUGUGUGAGAGGAUAGUGGAAUUCCAGGUGUAGGAGUGAAAUCCGUAGAUAUCUGGAGGAACAUCAGUGGCGAAGGCGACUAUCUGGCACAUAACUGACGCUGAGGAGCGAAAGCGUGGGUAGCAAACAGGAUUAGAUACCCCUGUAA
rnacentral:rRNA from 1 species